rnacentral:rRNA from 1 species
GGGGAUAUACCCCAUAGACUAUGGAUGCUGGAAUGCUUUGUAGUCGAAAGGUGAGCCGCCGUAGGAUGGGUCUGCGGCCGAUUAGGUUGUUGUUGGGGUAACGGCCCAACAAGCCUGUAAUCGGUACGGGUUGUGGGAGCAAGAGCCCGGAGAUGGAUUCUGAGACACGAAUCCAGGCCCUACGGGGCGCAGCAGGCGCGAAAACUUUACAAUGCGGGAAACCGUGAUAAGGGGACUCCGAGUGCCCGUAAAAUCGGGCUGUCCAUCCGUUUAAAUCACAGGUGAAGAAAGGGCCGGGCAAGACCGGUGCCAGCCGCCGCGGUAAUACCGGCGGCUCGAGUGGUGGCCACUAUUACUGGGCUUAAAGCGUUCGUAGCUGGUUUGUUAAGUCUCUGGGGAAAUCUUCCGGCUUAACCGGAAGGCGUCUCAGGGAUACUGGCAGACUAGGGACCGGGAGAGGUGAGAGGUACUCCAGGGGUAGGAGUGAAAUCCUGUAAUCCUUGGGGGACCACCUGUGGCGAAGGCGUCUCACCAGAACGGCUCCGACAGUGAGGGACGAAAGCUGGGGGAGCAAACCGGAUUAGAUACCCGGGUAGUCCCAGCCGUAAACGAUGUGCGUUAGGUGUAUCGGUGACCACGAGUCACCGAGGUGCCGAAGAGAAAUCGUGAAACGUACCGCC